rnacentral:tRNA from 1 species
GCCUUAUUAGCUCAGUGGUUAGAGCACUGGUCUCGUAAACCAGGGGACCGGAGUUCAAUUCUCUAAUAAGGCU